rnacentral:rRNA from 1 species
AUUGAACGCUGGCGGCAUGCUUUACACAUGCAAGUCGAACGGCAGCGCGGGCUUCGGCCUGGCGGCGAGUGGCGAACGGGUGAGUAAUACAUCGGAACGUGCCCAGUAGUGGGGGAUAGCUCGGCGAAAGCCGGAUUAAUACCGCAUACGACCUGAGGGUGAAAGCGGGGGAUCUUCGGACCUCGCGCUAUUGGAGCGGCCGAUGGCAGAUUAGCUAGUUGGUGGGGUAAAGGCCUACCAAGGCGACGAUCUGUAGCUGGUCUGAGAGGACGACCAGCCACACUGGGACUGAGACACGGCCCAAACACCUACGGGAGGCAGCAGUGGGGAAUUUUGGACAAUGGGCGAAAGCCUGAUCCAGCAAUGCCGCGUGUGUGAUGAAGGCCUUCGGGUUGUAAAGCACUUUUGGCGGGAACGAAAAGGACUGUGCCAAUACCACGGUUCGAUGACGGUACCCGCAGAAUAAGCACCGGCUAACUACGUG